GCUUAUGGCCAUACCACCUUAGGCACGCCCGAUCUCGUCUGAUCUCGGAAGCAAAGCAGGGUCGGGCCUGGUUAGUACUUGGAUGGGUGACCGCCUGGGAAUACCAGGUGCUGUAAGCA
ensembl:rRNA 5S_rRNA 5S ribosomal RNA